rnacentral:rRNA from 1 species
CCUACGGGCGGCAGCAGUGGGGAAUAUUGGGCAAUGGGCUCACGCCUGACCCAGCCAAGCCGCGUGAAGGAAGAAGGCUUUAGGGUUGUAAACUUCUUUUGUCCGGGAAGAGUCGCUGACGGUACCUGACGAAUCAGCCACGGCUAAAUACUUGCCAGCAGCCGCGGUAAUACGUAGGUGGCAAGGGUUGUCCGGAUUUACGUGGUGUAACGGGCGUGUAGCCGGGUUGACAAGUCAGAUGUGAAAUCCUGCGGCUUAACCGCAGAACUGCAUUUGAAACUGUUGAUCUUGAGGACUGGAGAGGCAGACGGAAUUCCUAGUGUAGCGGUGAAAUGCGUAGAUAUUAGGAGGAACACCAGUGGCGAAGGCGGUCUGCUGGACAGCAACUGACGGUGAGGCGCGAAAGCGUGGGGAGCAAACAGGAUUAGAUACCCGUGUAGUC